UUCGCAAUGCCCGAAAGGGUGACGAAGCGACGCCGCGUGUGGGAAGAAGGCCUUCGGGUUGUAAACCACUGUCGGGAGUUAAGAAAUGUAAGGGUGUUAAUAGCGUUCUUACUUGACUAAGGCUCCGGAGGAAGCCACGGCUAACUCUGUGCCAGCAGCCGCGGUAAUACAGAGGCGGCAAGCGUUGUUCGGAAUUAUUGGGCGUAAAGAGCACGUAGGCGGCUAUGUAAGUCGGUUGUGAAAGCCUUCCGCUCAACGGGAGAACAGCAUCCGAUACUGCAUGGCUUGAGUGCGGGAGGGGAGAGUGGAACUUCUGGUGGAGCGGUGAAAUGCGUAGAUAUCAGAAGGAACGCCGGCGGCGAAAGCGGCUCUCUGGCCCGUAACUGACGCUGAGUGUGCGAAAGCUAGGGGAGCAAACGGGAUUAGAUACCCCGGUAGUCCUAGCCGUAAACGAUGGGCACUAAGUAGAGGGGUUUUA
rnacentral:rRNA from 1 species